rnacentral:rRNA from 1 species
AUGAAAGCAGGGGAUCGCAAGACCUUGCGCGAAUGGAGCGGCCGAUGGCAGAUUAGGUAGUUGGUGAGGUAAAGGCUCACCAAGCCUUCGAUCUGUAGCUGGUCUGAGAGGACGACCAGCCACACUGGGACUGAGACACGGCCCAGACUCCUACGGGAGGCAGCAGUGGGGAAUUUUGGACAAUGGGCGAAAGCCUGAUCCAGCCAUGCCGCGUGCAGGAUGAAGGCCUUCGGGUUGUAAACUGCUUUUGUACGGAACGAAACGGUCUUUUCUAAUAAAGAAGGCUAAUGACGGUACCGUAAGAAUAAGCACCGGCUAACUACGUGCCAGCAGCCGCGGUAAUACGUAGGGUGCAAGCGUUAAUCGGAAUUACUGGGCGUAAAGCGUGCGCAGGCGGUGAUGUAAGACAGUUGUGAAAUCCCCGGGCUCAACCUGGGAACUGCAUCUGUGACUGCAUCGCUGGAGUACGGCAGAGGGGGAUGGAAUUCCGCGUGUAGCAGUGAAAUGCGUAGAUAUGCGGAGGAACACCGAUGGCGAAGGCAAUCCCCUGGGCCUGUACUGACGCUCAUGCACGAAAGCGUGGG